GGAUGCGAUCAUACCAGCACUAAAGCACCGGAUCCCAUCAGAACUCCGAAGUUAAGCGUGCUUGGGCGAGGGUAGUACUAGGAUGGGUGACCUCCUGGGAAGUCCUCGUGUUGCAUUCC
rnacentral:rRNA from 3 species